AAGGAUUCCCCUAGUAACUGCGAGUGAAGCGGGAAAAGCUCAAAUUUAAAAUCUGGCGGUCUUUGGCUGUCCGAGUUGUAAUCUAGAGAAGUGUCAUCCGCGCUGGACCGUGUACAAGUCUCCUGGAAUGGAGCGUCAUAGAGGGUGAGAAUCCCGUCUUUGACACGGACUGCCAGGGCUUUUGUGAUGUGCUCUCAAAGAGUCGAGUUGUUUGGGAAUGCAGCUCAAAAUGGGUGGUAAAUUCCAUCUAAAGCUAAAUAUUGGCGAGAGACCGAUAGCGAACAAGUACCGUGAGGGAAAGAUGAAAAGAACUUUGGAAAGAGAGUUAAACAGUACGUGAAAUUGCUGAAAGGGAAACGCUUGAAGUCAGUCGCGUUGUCCAGGGAUCAACCUUGCUUUUGCUUGGUGUACUUUCUGGUUGACGGGUCAGCAUCAAUUUUGACUAUUGGAAAAAGGUCAGGGGAAUGUGGCAUCUUUAGAUGUGUUAUAGCCCUUGGUUGCAUACAAUGGUUGGGAUUGAGGAACUCAGCACGCCGCAAGGCCGGGUUUUUUUUUAACCACGUACGUGCUUAGGAUGCUGGCAUAAUGGCUUUAAUCGACCCGUCUUGAAACACGGACCAAGGAGUCUAACAUGCCUGCGAGUGUUUGGGUGGAAAACCCGAGCGCGCAAUGAAAGUGAAAGUUGAGAUCCUCGUCGUGGGGAGCAUCGACGCCCGGACCUGACCUUUUGUGACGGUUCCGCGGUAGAGCAUGUAUGUUGGGACCCGAAAGAUGGUGAACUAUGCCUGAAUAGGGUGAAGCCAGAGGAAACUCUGGUGGAGGCUCGUAGCGAUUCUGACGUGCAAAUCGAUCGUCAAAUUUUGGGUAUAGGGGCGAAAG
rnacentral:rRNA from 1 species